AUUGAACGCUGGCGGCAGGCCUAACACAUGCAAGUCGAACGAGUGGCGGACGGGUGAGUAAUGUCUGGGAAACUGCCUGAUGGAGGGGGAUAACUACUGGAAACGGUAGCUAAUACCGCAUACCAUCGGAUGUGCCCAACUGGUAUUAGCUAGUAGGUGGGGUAAAGGCUCACCUAGGCGACGAUCCCUAGCUGGUCUGAGAGGUUGACCAGCCACACUGGAACUGGGACACGGUCCAGACUCCUACGGGAGGAAGCAGUGGGGAAUAUUGCACAAUGGGCGCAAGCCUGAUGCAGCCAUGCCGCGUGUAUGAAGAAGGCCUUCGGGUUGUAAAGUACUUUCAGCGGGGAGGCGUUACCCGCAGAAGAAGCAACGGCUAACUCCGUGCCAGCAGCCGCGGUAAUUC
rnacentral:rRNA from 1 species